UUUCCGUAGGUGAACCUGCGGAAGGAUCAUUAAAAAAUUGGACUCCAUUGGUGAGUUCAUUAAUAAUCCCUACCCUUUGUGAAUUUGUUUGUUUGAAUAAUUUUUUUUUCCAAAAAAAAUUAUUGAAUGUCUUUCCUUGUUUUGGUGGAGCUUGUAAAGUGAAACCAGGCAGGGGAAUGGCAAACAAUAAUUAUUUUUGAAAAAGACCUUUUUUUAAAAUUAAACUUUUUGUAUUCAUUUGUCUAAAAUUAAUUUUUAUAAUAUAAAAACAACUUUUGACAAUGGAUCUCUUGGUUCUCGCAACGAUGAAGAACGCAGCAAAAUGCGAUAAGUAGUGUGAAUUGCAGAAUACGUGAAUCAUCGAAUCUUCGAACGCAUAUUGCACUUUUUUAGUUUACUAAAAAAGUAUGUCUGUUUGAGUAUCAGUAAAAUAUUCUCAUAAAAAACAUUGUUUUUUUUAUGGUUAUGAGUGUUUUACAACGAUAACAAGUUGUUUCACUUUAAAUUCUUUGUUAUCAAAAAAAUCAUUAAAAGCUAAUUUUAAAGAUUUUUUAAAAUUGGAUAAAAUUUUCCCGUAAAAAGGAAUAACCUAAACAAUUUUAAAAAAUUAAAAUUGGUUUGAUUUUUUUUUGAAACCCAAAGGAAAAAAAAACGAAAUUAACUUGAUCUCAAAUCAGAUAAGAGUACCCGCUGAACUUAAGCAUAUCAAUAAGCGGAGGAAAAGAAACUAACUAGGAUUCCCUCAGUAACGGCGAGUGAAGCGGGAAGAGCUCAAAUUUGAAAUCUCCAAGGUUUUACUUUGACGAAUUGUAGUUUAAAGAAGUGUUUUCUGUUGGAGUUUUGGUAAAAGUUCUUUGGAAAAGGACAUCAUAGAGGGUGAGAAUCCCGUAUUUGACCAUUAUCUCCAGCUUUGUGAUACACUUUCAAAGAGUCGGAUUGUUUGGGAAUGCAGUCCAAAAUGGGUGGUAAAUUUCAUCUAAAGCUAAAUACUGGCGAGAGACCGAUAGCGAACAAGUACCGUGAGGGAAAGAUGAAAAGAACUUUGAAAAGAGAGUUAAACAGUACGUGAAAUUGUCAAAAGGGAAGCGUUUGACACCAGUGUUGUUUUCUCGAAAAUCAAUUAAAAAAGGCCGGAUUUUGUGUUGUAUUGACUUUAUCAGCUUUCUGCACUCUUUUCUUGUCUUUUUUAAUGCACUUUUCGUUUAACAAGUCAACAUCAAUUUCUUUUGUUGUAAAAGGGUCAUUGGAAGGUGGCUUUCUUUUCGGAGAAAGUGUUUUUAGCCUUUGGCCUCUGCAAUCGGAGAGAUUGAGGUCUGCAGCGUAGAUCCUUCGGGUUAGAUACAUUUGUGCUAAGUUAUAGCCUUUCAUAGACAACUUGUUGACUAUGAUCAGUCAUGUAGCUUACUCGCUUAUGCUAUUUUACCUACGCUUAGGAUGUUG
rnacentral:misc_RNA from 1 species